rnacentral:lncRNA from 1 species
ACAUGUGCAUAAGACAUUUUUCUACUGUCUGUUAUUGAGAUGAACACAGUGAAUUGUUCUACAGAUCAAAAUCUGUCGGUUUGUAUUGCUUGCUUUUUGCAUUUUCUCCCAAGAGGAAUAAAAUAUAAUUGAAUAGAAAAUCGGGAGAUCUACGUGUUUCUCCUAGGUGGAUGACUUACAGACGAGUUAAGGAACGCUUGAGAUGACAGAAGGAGCUCUCGCCUUUGCUUAGGGAAACAGAUGCCUGCAUGGACAUAUACUGUAUUGUGAAGUUCCUAAAGGUGAUAAAGGUUGGCAUUGGACCUUCUGGAACUGUGCUUAUAGCUGUGAGUUGUCGUGUGUGUUCUGGUAUCCAAACCAAGGUCCUCUGCAAGGCCAACAAGCACUCUUAGCUGCUGAGCCAUGCUGCCAGCCCUGACGACAGAAGUCGAAUGUCUGUAGGAAGUAGUACAAAUGACAAUGAAACAGACAGUAAAGAAAAAAAAAAAGAAAGAAAUGUCGGCAUUGAUCUGAUGCAUAUCACUUGAAGCAAGAAUAAUUUUGCAUUUUCCCUCAGAUCUGAUUGUCAACAAAGAGAUGGGAUUUUAAAAUGAUCUAAAGAGAUUCCUUGUGGAAUUAUGGUGACCGUAGUGUAUAGCUAUACAUACAUAUAGCUACAUAAAGAAGAGAGCAUUGUGGGUACCUAUGAUGUGAGCUAAGGCUUAGAGAUGGGUAGGGAGGAUGGAUUACAUGGAUUUGAAUAGGUUGCCAUGUUUGGACAGGAGAUAGUGGGAGGUGAGUGAGAGAGACAGUAGCAGUUCUGAGGGAUGGGAGUUGAGUUCUGUUGAACUUCCUUCCACUUUGUUCAGGCAGAGUGUUCCCAGGGGAAGCCCUUUCACUCUAGCUCAGUGCUUGUUUAUACUAACUUCCCUCAAACGCAUUUCUUUUCUACAAUAUUCCUGUGUCUAGGUGUAUCUGAUGCCAAAGCUGGUUCUGGGGAUAACUAAGGACAAAAAAAAUCAUGGCCUCUUUUUCUCACAGGAGUCUGAGGUUUCAGUGUGAUUCACUCUGAGUCAGAACCACCUUCAGUAUUAUGGAUAUUAUAUUGUAAGUGAUUACAUGCUGUUUGAGUUCACUGAGAAGCUGAUUCUGGAAGUGGGAUUGCCCUCGGUUUCAGACCUAAUCGAGUUUGGUUCAUAGCGUUCCCUCAAAGUCCCUUGUCUGGGGAUGGGCUGCCCUCCUGCCCACUCUUAUCUAUGGCAGACAAGGAAGAGAACAGCAAACAGUCCUAAAGUAAAAUGCCGUGGCCUUGAGAAGAGGGAAGAAGGUUUACCGUCCGAACUAUUACUAUUACUAUUACUGUUACUAUUUGCUUACUCAUCCAUGAUACAAAUGCCUGCAGUGGGAAGGAGAAGCUGAAAAUCCAGUCCUGGGAAGCUCAGCUCAGCCACGGAAAGAAAGCUCAACUGGGAACUCCAACCACCUGCCUUAACUUCCCCACUCAGGAUCCAGGUGAUGCUGUGAAUGCUCAGCUUGAUGAUGUCAUAUUCUUGUAUUUGUUUCAUCAUUCACCUGACAGGACAUCUGCUCUGAGUAGGGCUUUCUUGAUUGGAAACUCCAGCUGGCUGCCUUAAAGGCAAUUGGUUUCUGUUGGGUGCUUUGAGCACCUAGUGUAAUAUCUCUCUCUCUCUCUCUCUCUCUCUCUCUCUCUCUCUCUCUCUCUCUCUCUCCCUCUCCCUCCCCCUCCCCCUCUCCCUAUCCCACCCUCCUCUCUUAUUUUGGCCUGCUAUUUACUUUAUAAACUCACUCCUGCAAUACCAAAAAUGCGGCUGUGGUAGAUUAUUCGUGCCAUUACACAGGACAAUUAGUUGUCUGCCCAUGUGGGGAAAGUUGCUCUGAGCUUUCUGUUUACUCGCUGUCCUCUUUGACCUUGACUUAUUUAGAAUUAAUCAUGAAAAAAAAAAAAAGAAAGUGUUAGUAUUGGGUUAAACUUGUUCCACGGACUUUUACUUUUUCAAGAGUAUGAUUUUUCUGAGUGAGUGUAGUUUUACAAAAUGCAGCGGAUGCCAAAGACUCAUUUCCUCCUAAAUGAUGGAACCCGCCAGCUGAACUCAGCAGGAGUGAAGGGAUGGGUGACCAGCCAGUUACAAACGUUUUCCAAAUAUUUUCUUCUGGGUAUGGUGACACAUACCUUUACUCCCAACACUUGUAGGAAGAGGCAGGCAGAUCUCUGUGAGUUUGAGGUCAGGGUGGGCAUCAUUGCAUAGUGAAAUCCUGUCUCAAAAACUUCUUUAAGAUUACACUAUAUAUUUUUCACUUUUAACUAUUCUGCACAUCAAGGAAAGAGAAAGUGAAAAUUUCUAUCUGUUAGCGGGCUUGCUGGCUCGCUAAUCACUUAUUGCCCGUGUGUCUUCUGGCAGCUCAACUAACCACACUGAGCUUCAGUUCCUUUUAUUGUGCAUGGGAAGAGAGGGAGCAGCUUGUACUGUCAAUUAAAGCUGGAUUGUCUGGCGGACUAAACAGAUAAACGUAUAGGAAGUUUUUAAAGAGUGCCUGAUGCACAGUAAAUAUGGAAAAGUGAUCUGUAUGAUAAUGAUAUUAUUGAUAUUAUAAUAGAGGAGGAAUUGCCCUAAAAUAGAAUUACAUGGAGUUGCGUUUGGUCUAAAGUCUCUAGCGGGACUCUAGAGUCUACUGAUUCCUGUUUUCUGAAAUAGCAGAAAGCACUGUGGACACUGGCUGUAGACAAUGCCUCUGCUUCUCCACAUGCUAGGGAGGCCCAGGACUGAAGAUGCCCUACGACACCAAAUGAGAGGCCACAGCAAGGAGAGGCUUACUAUGACACAGUCUAUUUGACCCCAAUUCUCCUAACUCCUCCAGAAACGUACCAAAG